CAAUAGCGUAUAUUAAAGUUGUUGCAGUUAAAAAGCUCGUAGUUGGAUUUCUGGUGGGGGUCGCUGGUCCGCUGCGAAAGCGGCGUGUACCGAUGCGUACCUACCGCCAUUCUCGGGGGGACUGCGUGUGGGAUUAGUUUCUCGUGCGUAUGGACGCCCGUCUUUUACUGUGAAAAAAUUAGAGUGUUCAAAGCAGGCUGAGGCCGUUGAAUACAUUAGCAUGGAAUAAUAAGAUAGGACCUUGGCGGUCUAUUUUGUUGGUUUGCACGCCAAGGUAAUGAUUAAUAGGGAUAGUUGGGGGUAUUCGUAUUCAAUUGUCAGAGGUGAAAUUCUUAGAUUUAUGGAAGACGAACUACUGCGAAAGCAUUUACCAAGGAUGUUUUCAUUAA
rnacentral:rRNA from 1 species